GAACCCGUGGCACAGUGGUAGCGCGUGAGAUUCCAGUUUAUGUCUUUACUUGGUUCCUCAAGGUCAUCCGUUCAAUCCGGGUCGGGUUCA
rnacentral:tRNA from 1 species